UCUCUUUCUUUGAUCUUUGCCAUUGGUUCAUUCCGCAUUUGGGUUUUGUUCCUUGAUUCAAUUAUUUCUUGUGGGUUGGCGGUGGUUUAAUCUCGGUUGCUCUUGCGAAUUUAAUUUUUUGGGUAUUGAAGGGUAAGUGUUUCUAUGGAAUUUGCUUUUUUUAAGGGUGGUGUUUAUUGGUUGAUUAUUUCUUUAAGGCUUGGGUUAAUCUCGUGAAAUCUAUGUUGUUAGGUGAUAGUCAAGGAAUUCGGAACUCUCAUUCUGUGAGUUAGUUAUCUUAAAGGCUGCUGUGGACAUUGGGUAAGUUUCGAACCCCUAAGAGUUCAAUUCUUAUGUUAGAACUGUUUAUGUUGCAUUGUAGUUGAUUGGGUUGUUUUGGUAAAUUGAGGAAUUGGAACUGAUUUUUAGGUGUUGGAUAUCGCAUGGUUGUUUUCACAUCAGAAUCGAAUCAGGUAUGUAACGAGAAAUUCAAAAAUCAGCGAACUAUGAAAGCUAAAAAAUAACACUGUCGACGCCACACGGUCGUAUGUCAGGCCGUGUGCAAUAAACUGUUGCCUGAUGGGCCUUAUACUAGACCGUGUGUGACACUGGUAUAGGCUAUUUGGGCUGUAUGGGUCUAAAAUUCAGAUUUUUUUCCUAGGGUCGUACACGUUGUCCCAAUUGACCAUGGGCCUUCCGUAGGGUCAAUAUGUGAUUAAAUAUACUAUAAAACAUGAAAUUUUGUCGUCUGUUAGUAUAAUUUUUACUACCUGCAAGUGUAUUUGGGAUGUCAUACAAUAAAUAAAAUUAAGAAUAAUG
rnacentral:lncRNA from 1 species